rnacentral:rRNA from 1 species
GAUGAACGCUGGCGGCGUGCUUAACACAUGCAAGUCGAACGGGAAACAUUUUAUUGAAGCUUCGGCAGAUUUAGUUUGUUUCUAGUGGCGGACGGGUGAGUAACGCGUGGGUAACCUGCCUCACACUGGGGGAUAACAGUCAGAAAUGACUGCUAAUACCGCAUAAGCGCACGGAACCGCAUGGUUUUGUGUGAAAAACUCCGGUGGUAUGAGAUGGACCCGCGUCUGAUUAGCUGGUUGGUGGGGUAACGGCCUACCAAGGCGACGAUCAGUAGCCGGCCUGAGAGGGCGACCGGCCACAUUGGGACUGAGACACGGCCCAGACUCCUACGGGAGGCAGCAGUAGGGAAUCUUCGGCAAUGGGGGCAACCCGUGACCGAGCAACGCCGACGUGAGUGAAGAAGGUUUUCGGAUCGUAAAGCU